AAAGAGAUGUUUUUCUUCCCAAGAGCUGGUGAAAUUCUAGAUCACCGUUUGUCCUGUGUUGUGGGGCAGACAGCCUCGGCUGCAAUGAACGGAGUCUGACAUCACUAACAGCUCAUUGCAGGGCCCUUCCAACGUGCGCUGGAGGUUUCGAUGCUCAGGUCCCGAGGAAGCCACAAAUGAACAAUUUGUGACAGAUGCAGAAGCCAGCUGGAGUUUCACCAUCUGCCACUUAUCCGGUCACCCAUGGCGAUAAGGUCAAAGGGGAGGUUCCAGACAAACAGCGAUCCAGCCGAGACCUCAGUGGUAGAGCUGGUAGAAGGUGACGACACAUCACAACAGCAGUGAAGGCGACGGAAGACUGCAGCAGUGAAGGAUCCCCAGUGAGAAGGGAGGACCACCAGGACCACCAGGACCAAGGUCUCAUCACUUCAAAAGUUGGACACAAGAGUUUGUGGAAACAGUAGCCACCCUGGAGUUUUCCAGAGAUAGAUCAAAGUACGUAAAAUUUAAAUGAAAAAUGUCCAGUUCAGAAUCAAAGUCAGAAUCAAGAUUCUGAUUCUGAAGUACAUGAAACUUAAAGGAAAAUGUCCAGUUAUGUUAGCUUUCUUUGAUUUGUGUUCAAGCAAGUUCUCAUUCCUCAGAAGAUUUCUGUUUAAUUGUCAAGUAUGAAGAUUGUUAUUGACCUGCUUCUUCCUAAACCAUAAACAGAGGCCAAUUACAUGUAGCAUCUACUGCUGAUAACUGAUUGUCAUCCAACUCACUGGAGGAUUGAAAAUGUUACUGGGAUUAUCCGGAACUGCACCUUCCAGUUUCUGAACGGACGUCUUUGCCCAGCUUCCUAACUCACUCCCAGACUUCUUCACAUAGAGGACAUGCACGCCCUCCUGGUUGUUACAUUUACUGUAGCCUUCUCUUUGGAAAAUGGACUGUGUUAUAGAUAAAGUGUCUUGGAAAGACUUGAUCAUACUAGUUAGGCUGUGAGUCAUAGCCCAGAAGAAAUCUCCUUAAUCCCUUGUCUAUGCCUCACUUUUAGUGAUGGAGCCUCGUUAAUCCAAAACUGUAAGAUACACAGACAAUAUUGAUGUCAACAGACAAGCUCCUUAUCCCACUUUAGUGAUAUACCACAGGCUGGCAACUGACAUUAUAAAUGCAAAAGACGUGGAAACAUAAUUAAGUCAUUUCUAGAAACGUCAACGGUCAAAUCUGAACCUUUGCCAGACCAAACUCGUUUUAAAAAAGGAGGCAUCUUAGUGUACUGAGCAAAACCUCUAUCUGAAAGUUCAAAAACUUAGAAGGGUUUGAGGCUAGAUUUCCCCUGCUACACAAACUCAUAAGUGUCCUCAACCUUGACAAAUAUUUAAGUUCAAAAGUCUCUUGGGCAUUAGUAGUGUCUCAGCACGUCUUCUCUGAGUCACAAAGUUAUGGAUUUGAUUCAGAGAGUAAUACUGCAUGGAAGCAGAUCCUUUGGCCUAGCUCUUCCAUGCUGACCAAGAUGCCUAUGCAAGAUUGUCCCAUUUGCCCACAUGUGGCCCAUAUCUAUCCCUCUGUCCAUGACCAUUCCCAUCUAUGUACCUGUCCAAGUGUCUCUUAAACGUUGUUACGGCUGUCGUGACUGUGCAUGACGCUGGUGAUAUACAAGUCUUUAUUCAGCACAUGGGCAGGCAUCAUACUGGAGGCCCUGUUAGAAGAGGCUCCUUGAUCCAAUAUUACAUGACAUUUUAUAUGUUAAAGGUCAAAGGUAAUGGCAGGACCAUUCUAUAGUUACAAUGUAUCCACAAUACUUCUUUCUAUUACAUAUAGUUUUCAAGCACCUCCAUCUUCACACCAGCGCUCCGGACACCCAAAAUGAACAUUAAUCCCCACUGAUUCUGGGCUGCAUUCAUGCAUAUGCAGACAUAUCAGGUCAAAUGGAGUGUUUCUUUGUUUACAAUCCACCCCAGUCUGCAGCUCCAAGAACACUAUUCUUCCAGGCUACAUUUUAAACUC